rnacentral:rRNA from 1 species
GAUGAACGCUAGCGGCAGGCUUAAUACAUGCAAGUCGAGGGGCAGCACAGAUAGCAAUAUUGGGUGGCGACCGGCAAACGGGUGCGGAACACGUACACAACCUUCCUGCUGGUGGGGGAUAGCCCAGAGAAAUUUGGAUUAAUACCUCAUAGGAUAGUGGAGAAGCAUUUUUCUGAUAUUAAAGAUUUAUCGCCAGUAGCUGGGUGUGCGUAUGAUGAGGUAGUUGGCGGGGUAACGGCCCACCAAGCCUCCGAUCAUUAACUGGUGUGAGAGCACGACCAGUCACACGGGCACUGAGACACGGGCCCGACUCCUACGGGAGGCAGCAGUGGGGAAUAUUGGACAAUGGGCGAAAGCCUGAUCCAGCCAUGCCGCGUGUGUGAAGAAGGUCUUCGGAUUGUAAAGCACUUUAAGUCGGGAGGAAGGGCAGUAAGCUAAUACCUUGCUGUUUUGACGUCACCGACAGAAUAAGCACCGGCUAACUUCGUGCCAGCAGCCGCGGUAACAC